GUGAGGAAUAUUGGUCAAUGGGGGCAACCCUGAACCAGCCAUGCCGCGUGCAGGAAGACAGCCUUCUGGGUUGUAAACUGCUUUUAUAUAGGAACAAAAGGGUCCUGCGGGACACAUUGAGGGUACUGUAUGAAUAAGCACCGGCUAACUCCGUGCCAGCAGCCGCGGUAAUACGGAGGGUGCAAGCGUUGUCCGGAUUUAUUGGGUUUAAAGGGUGCGUAGGCGGUCUAUUAAGUCAGUGGUGAAAGUCCUGGGCUCAACCGAGGGAUUGCCAUUGAAACUGAUGGACUUGAGUUCAGUAGAGGUAUGCGGAAUUUAUGGUGUAGCGGUGAAAUGCAUAGAUACCAUAAAGAACACCGAUAGCGAAGGCAGCAUACUAUGCUGGUACAGACGCUGAGGCACGAAAGCGUGGGGAGCGAACAGG
rnacentral:rRNA from 1 species